CCCCAAUAUGUCGAUCUCCUCUCCCCUCGCCUCCUCCUCUCUCGGGUCACCGCGCCGCCGGCUCAGCCGCUUCUCCCGCGCCUUCUCCUCGCCGCUCCUCUCCUCAUAGAUGAGUCCUCGACCAGAUCGGCGUCCAGCGCAGGAGGAUCCGAGUGGUCGUGGUGGCAGCAUCUUCAGUGGCGUCGCCGGAGGAGCUCCACGCGCGGGGGAGAUAUCUCCACGGGCCCGCGCAACCACGUCCCCUCGCUGACGUCGGCAUUAGUCCGCCCGUGCCACCGAGGAGGGGGAGCAGCUGCGCCCAGAGGAGGUUGUCCCCAACGCCUGCAUAAUCCAGGCCUGAUUUGUGGAGAGCCCGGCGCAGCACCGUCUACAGGUCAUGAUUGUUUCUGCAGUUGCCGAUUCGUUUUUUUGCUUCCAAUGCUUUGUUAGAAUGAUAAGGGUGGGAGCUUCAAUGACGAAUCCACAAUUCAGCACACAGCCCAACUCUACAGACACGAGCCAUGUCGACAGUUGGGGUGGCACUUGGGGGCAUGCUCGCCUUGGCAGUCAUUAAGGUGGCGAGCUCAAUUCUACCAUUUCAAGCGAGAUGAAGCUGCACAAGAAAUUGAGGAACGAUCUGGAGAAUAUGAAGAUGAUGCUAGAGUCGGUGGAGGCCGUGCUCGGCGACGCUGAGAGGGAGUCUAUCAAGCAUAAGUCCAUGCUUAUGUGACUGAAUCGGCUUAAGGAUGCCUCGAACGACAUCUCCGACAUGCUUGGAAGAUUUUGGAGAUGAAACCGACUUCAACCUAUGAAGUAGAUCUGAAUCUCACUGUUGGAGUUGAUCUUUUAGUCGAUGUUAAGUAAAAGCUACUUCUACUUGUUGAUGCCAAGACCACCUUUAGUGGGCAUCCACGAUGAAGAAGAUUAAGAUGCCACGUUAGAUGAGAUCGAUGCAAAAGCACCUACAAAAUAUGGACCGUGAUAGUUAUGGUGUUCAGCUAGAAACUCGCUGCCAGGAGCGGCAAGUUCCUGACAUCCGGGAAACAGAAGGAUAUGUGGAGGACGUAGAAAUCAUCCGGAGGACUGAUGACAAAAGGAAAAUCUUGGAUUGCAUAUCUGGGAGCAUAGAGAGGCUGGCAUUUGACAAUACGGUCCUGUGUGUGCAUUGACUACUGGUGCUACAGCCUAUAAUUUUUCUUGUGGAGUGGACCGAAGUAAUCCAUCAAGCUAGCUGCAUUAUUGAUUCUGUUCCUUUUGCUGGCGAGCAGAAGAUGCGGUGUGGCUAUGGCACGGUUGAAGUUCAGGACAUUUUUGUUGGUUUUUCAUUUUCAUGGGUCGUGUAUCGGCAAGCUCUCCCCCGACGCGUCGUGUAGUUCGCCGGUCCACAUCGUGCGGUUCACCGGCCAUUUGACUGCAUUGUAGUCGACCCCUCAUGUGUGGCGUGCAACUCGGAGCAAAGCGGCAUGCAGUUUAAUCUGUUGUUUGUGGUUUUUUUUGUGUCUAUCGAAUGUAUCUGGUUGGGAUAUGAUGAAUUUUGUGUAAAAAAUAUUUGUUGAGAAGUUCA